CUUCAACUUGCAAGGCACUGGCUUCUGGGAGAAGUGCAGCAACCUCCCUGGAGUCACUUCCUGGCAAACGGAAUGACUCAAGACCAAGAGGGCUGCCAGGCCCAGAAGACUGACUGACUCCAUCACCCUCCUCAGGGCAUACCGGCGCUAUGGGAAGGCCAAGGGGUGGCCGUGGCUGUCUGUGGGUCGGGGGCUCCCACGGACACACCACCGAGGAGACUGAGAUCCAGGGCCCAGCUUGUGAUGGCAGCCGCAGCGGAGGAGGGGACAGCGCGGUGGGAGUGAGCCGCAGGAAGGAAGAUAAGAGAACAUCACAGAACAAACGCCUCCUUUUAGAAAUGUGGGCUGUGGCCUGUCCCACUCCCUUCCUUCCCAGAAACCAGAAGGCAAAACACAGUAUGGAACAAUGGUUAAUAAACAACCCUUGAAACGCAAA